rnacentral:lncRNA from 1 species
UCACCUGAAUUUGACUGUCCCCACAGAAACAACAGAAGAAACAAGUGGAACAUCAGCUGGAAGAAGAAAAGAAAGCAAACAAUGAAAUACACAAAGCACAAAUGGAGCAGUUAGAGACAAUCAACAUCCUCACGCUGGAAAAGGCAGACUUGAAGACCACCCUUUACCAUACUAAACGUGCCGCCAGACACUUCGAAGGUGGGAAUCUGGGCACCCCGUCAUCCUUCAAUCUGGCACUUUGACAGGUCUUUAGGGGGAGUCCUUUUGGGCCCCCAUCUCAGCCUCUGUCGUUGCAGAAGAGUCAAAAGGAUCUGGCUGGCCACCUGUAAUCCUCCUUACAGUGUAUUCAAGAAUUGGAGCAGG